AAUAGAUACCCAGGUAGUCCACGCCGUAAACGAUGAGUGCUAAGUGUUAGAGGGUUUCCGCCCUUUAGUGCUGCAGCUAACGCAUUAAGCACUCCGCCUGGGGAGUACGGCCGCAAGGCUGAAACUCAAAGGAAUUGACGGGGGCCCGCACAAGCGGUGGAGCAUGUGGUUUAAUUCGAAGCAACGCGAAGAACCUUACCAGGUCUUGACAUCAUCUGCCAACCCUAGAGAUAGGGCGUUCCCCUUCGGGGGACAGAGUGACAGGUGGUGCAUGGUUGUCGUCAGCUCGUGUCGUGAGAUGUUGGGUUAAGUCCCGCAACGAGCGCAACCCUUGAUCUUAGUUGCCAGCAUUCAGUUGGGCACUCUAAGGUGACUGCCGGUGACAAACCGGAGGAAGGCGGGGAUGACGUCAAAUCAUCAUGCCCCUUAUGACCUGGGCUACACACGUGCUACAAUGGAUGGUACAAAGAGCAGCGAACCCGCGAGGGUAAGCCAAUCUCAUAAAGCCAUUCUCAGUUCGGAUUGU
rnacentral:rRNA from 1 species